rnacentral:rRNA from 1 species
GACGAACGCUGGCGGCGUGCUUAACACAUGCAAGUCGAGCGGAGCGGCGAACGGGGGAGUAACGCGGGAGUAACUGCCCCCCUCUCUGGGAUAACAGUUGGAAACGGCUGCUAAUACCGGAUAGUGGGGGAUGACUCGCGUCGUAGUAGCUGGUGGGUGGGGUAGGGGCCUCCCAAGGAGACGACGGGUGGCCGGCCUGAGAGGGGGACCGGCCACAUUGGGCUGAGAUACGGCCCAAACUCCUACGGGAGGCAGCAGGGGGGAAUAUUGCACAAUGGGGGAAACCCUGAUGCAGCAACGCGCGGGCGGGAUGACGGCCUUCGGGUUGUAAACCGCUUUCAGCCAUGACGCGGUAGUGGCAGAAGAAGCACCGGCGAACUUCGUGCCAGCAGCCGCGGUAAUAC